UACGUAGGGUGCGAGCGUUGUCCGGAAUUAUUGGGCGUAAAGAGCUUGUAGGCGGUUUGUCGCGUCUGCUGUGAAAAUCCGGGGCUCAACCCCGGACUUGCAGUGGGUACGGGCAGACUAGAGUGUGGUAGGGGAGACUGGAAUUCCUGGUGUAGCGGUGGAAUGCGCAGAUAUCAGGAGGAACACCGAUGGCGAAGGCAGGUUCUGCUG
rnacentral:rRNA from 1 species